rnacentral:rRNA from 1 species
UACGUAGGGUGCAAGCGUUGUCCGGAAUUAUUGGGCGUAAAGAGCUCGUAGGCGGUCUGUCGCGUCUGCUGUGAAAACCUAGGGCUUAACUCUGGGCGUGCAGUGGGUACGGGCAGGCUAGAGUGCGGUAGGGGAGACUGGAAUUCCUGGUGUAGCGGUGAAAUGCGCAGAUAUCAGGAGGAACACCGAUUGCGAAGGCAGCUCACUACGCGAUUAUUGACACUGAGGCACGAAAGCGUGGGGGAUCAAACAGG